CACGUAGGGCGCAAGCGUUGUCCGGAAUUAUUGGGCGUAAAGAGCUCGUAGGCGGUCUGUUGCGUCCGCUGUGAAAACUCGGGGCUUAACCCCGAGCCUGCAGUGGAUACGGGCAGACUAGAGGUAGGUAGGGGAGAAUGGAAUUCCCGGUGUAGCGGUGAAAUGCGCAGAUAUCGGGAGGAACACCGGUGGCGAAGGCGGAUCUCUGGGCCUUACCUGACGCUGAGGCGCGAAAGCUAGGGGAGCGAAUGGG
rnacentral:rRNA from 1 species